rnacentral:lncRNA from 1 species
CGCCGGGCGUGGCAGGCUGUGGCUGCAAGCCAAACAGCCCCAUUAAUAUGUUCUCAGGAUCUAUUCCAGUUAAGCUCAUGGAGCUUGGGUACCUACAAUUCUUGGACCUUGCAUAUAACAGAAUAUCAGGCUCCAUACCUCAUUCGUUGGCCAACUUGAAAGCAAUGACCCAGGAUCAGGGUCACCGACAAACAUUUAAAAACCCUUUAUACUGGGGAUAUGGAAGGCCAGCUCCCCUGAAACAAUUCAUUUCCCAAAUAUGAUGACAGCCUGGAAGUGUUAUUGAAAGGCCAAUAUCUUAAUUACACUGGAAGCAUCAUAUACAUGGUUGCCCUUGAUCUCUCCACAACAAUUUAGUAGGGAAGAUCCCAGAUGAAAUAACAUAUCUUGUUGGGCUGAUGGGCUUGAACAUUUCCCAUAAUCAGUUGUCUGGUGAGAUUCCAGUGAAGCUUGGCCAACUACAAUCAAUGGAAUCUCUUGAUCUGUCAUGGAAUGAACUCUCUGGCGAAAUUCCUUCCAGUCUCUCAGGCAUGACAAUGUUAAGCAAGCUGAACCUGUCGUACAAUAAUCUCUCAGGAAGAAUACCCUCAGGGAAUCAGCUGCAAACACUAACCGAUCCAGCCUCUUCGUACAUUGGCAACAACUAUCUAUGCGGGCCUCCUGUUUCCAGGAACUGCUCAGCGCCCGAGGUGGCUGGACGUCAUCAUGAUGGGCAUCAAUCAGAUUCAGAUGUGAGGUAUUUCUAUGUUGGGAUGGCUGUAGGAUUUGUUUUGGGACUUUGGGUGGUCUUUGUUGCAUUCUUGUUUGCUAGGACGUGGAGAGCUGCUUAUUUUCAGAUGUUUGACAACCUACUGUGCGGACUAGAAAUUUCUGUGGCCGCAAGUUUUAGAAGGUGCCUAGGAAAACUGUAUUGAAAAUAAGGAUAAGAAUUACUACCUAUGUCUAAUUGCAUCAAUUUUGUAUGUACAUGAUGAAAAUUGGCAAUGAAGUUAAUUUUUAGUUCCACACUAUAUACUGCUUUAUAAAACAAAUGUAAGAUCUUCAAAAUUGCUGUCUUACUGUAGAGCAUGAAGGUAAGCAUUCCAUCAAGCAUGUGGUGGGCGUGCGGGGAGCGGUGAAGAAGACAUGAUUGAAUCAAGGAAGGAAAACAAAAUUGAACAAUCUAUCCCGUAUAAAGUUUGCACCUUGUCUGUUUGCUUACGCUGUUGCGGCAUCACCAGCUCAUCGCCACACCCUCCUGCUGCCUGGAUCACCCCGUCGGCGCUGUGUGUCUUGCCGCUUGCCCUACUCCGCAUCUUGCCGCCGGGAGUGAUGUUCAGCCGCAGGGAGCCGCAUGUUUGGAAUUUGGGCACCGGAUUGGGCCUCACGUAUACUGAGCUCGGUUGGGAGCAAUAUUUGACAAACGAGUGGUUCAGCCCAAGAC